CAUGUUAAUCUUCGGACAUUCUCUACUUCUACUACUUUCCUCUUUCCCAAUUUGCCCUCGUCUCCUCCCCUCGAGAGAUCUCUAGACAUCCUCCCAGUCUAAACGAUCCAUCAUUUCCCUCUGUCCGAACAAUUACAGCCGUCUCUGUCCGAAAUCUCGAAACUUUUUCAUUUUAACCAAAUCAAGUCCUCGGAAAAAUCCCGCGAAACAUGGCAGCACGAAUUUGAUGCCCCGAUUUGUGGAAAAUUUUAAAAUGAGGUCUUCGUUGUGGGCGGACGAUUCAAGCGAUCCAUCAACCUCAAUUACGCAUCGAACUUCCUCGGGUCACCUUAAUUCCAAGCACAGUGGUAGCAAUGUCUUCCGACUACUCGCACAAAGAGAGGUAUCUCCUCGAACGAAACGUUGUUCGAAGAAGUUUUGUGGAGCAGCUUCCAAGUUUCAUGUUGAUUCGAAAUGUGAAGCAGCAGGAGAUGCAAGACAUGGUCUUGUUUCAUGGGUGGAGGCUAAGUCAUUGCGGCAUUUGUCAGCCAUGUAUUGUCCACUGCAGCCUCCUCCUAGGUCAACUAUAGCAGCAGCCUUUAGUCCUGAUGGGAAAACACUUGCUUCAACGCAUGGAGACCAUACAGUGAAAGUAAUCAAUUGCCAAACAGGGAAAUGCUUAAAAGUGUUGAGUGGCCAUCGGAGGACACCUUGGGUGGUUAGAUUCCACCCUUUGUGUCCAGAAAUUCUAGCAAGUGGAAGUUUGGACCAUGAAGUUCGGUUAUGGGAUGCAAAUACUGCAGAAUGCAUAGGAUCACGUGACUUUUAUCGUCCUAUUGCAUCUAUUGCUUUCCACGCCCAAGGGGAACUUCUGGCUGUAGCUUCAGGCCACAAGCUAUAUAUAUGGCACUACAACAGGAGAGGGGACACAUCCUCACCAACCAUUGUUCUGAAGACACGUCGUUCGCUUCGGGCAGUGCAUUUUCAUCCACAUGGUGCCCCUUUUCUAUUGACUGCUGAGGUCAACGAUAUGGACUCAGAUUCCUCAAUGACACUCGCAACAUCUCCUGGUUAUUUGCACUAUCCUCCCCCUACUGUAUAUUUGGCAGAUGCUCAUUCUGCUCAUAGAGUGGGUCCUUCUACUUCAGUUAGGCUUCUCACAUAUUCAGCUCCGUCGGGGCAGUAUGAACUUUUGUUAUCUCCUAUGGAACCUAGUACCUCCACUGUGCCAGAAGAACAACAAGCUACUUCUAAUUUUAUGGAAACGGAAAAUGCUGUUCCUCCGCCUGCAAUCAAUGAUGCUAUGGAAUCUGCUGAAGCGGAGCCUGAAGAUAGAAGUAAUCAGUUAUUUUCAUUCAGUGACCCAAGAUAUUGGGAAUUACCAUUCUUGCAGGGUUGGUUGAUUGGCCAAAGCCACGCUGGCCAAAGAAUGAGACGUCCUCCUGAUAGUGGUGCUUAUGAAAAUUCAUCUGCAUUUAGUGAGAUAGAAAAUCCUGCUGUGAUGGUUCCCUCAGUUGUGCCAUCUAGGGUUGGCCAAUCUAGAGUCACCAGUGGAUCGGAUUCACGGCACCAUUCUUCACAUGCUCGCAUGGUACCCGUAACUGGAUCUAGUGAAGGUGUUUCUUCUAAUAACACUACUCGCAUCCAGACAGAAAUCGCCACAUCAUUGACUACAGUAGCUGCGGCUGAGUUACCUUGCACCGUGAGGCUCAGAGUUUGGACACAUGAACUUAAAGACGCGUGUACACCUCUUGAUGCUGAUAGAUGUCGGUUAACGAUAUCACAUGCUGUGCUUUGUAGCGAAAUGGGUGCCCAUUUUUCUCCUUGUGGCAGAUUUCUAGCAGCUUGUGUUGCAUGCGUACUGCCUCAUCUGGAAGGCGAUCCUGGUUUUCUCAGCCAAGUCCACCAUGAUGUCAUUGGAGCUUCAACAUCUCCUACGCGGCACCCUAUCUCAGCCCACCAAGUCAUUUAUGAGCUUCGGAUAUAUUCCCUAGAGGAAGCAACUUUUGGUUUGGUGCUUUCAUCAAGGCCAAUCAGGGCUGCUCAUUGUUUAACUUCUAUUCAGUUCUCUCCCACAUCAGAGCACUUGUUACUAGCCUAUGGCCGUCGCCAUAGUUCACUUCUUAAGAGUGUUGUGAUUGAUGGAGAUACAACAGUACCAAUCUACACUAUUCUGGAGAUCUACAGAGUUUCUGAUAUGGAACUUGUGAGAGUGCUUCCUAGUGCAGAGGAUGAGGUUAAUGUAGCUUGUUUCCAUCCUUCAGUUGGUAGUGGCCUUGUCUAUGGAACCAAGGAAGGGAAACUCCGGGUACUCCAAUACGAAAAUUCUGAGAGCUUGAAUUGCACAAUAUCUGGUUUUCAUGAUGAGAACAUGCUUGAGGUCCCAACAUAUGCUUUAGAAUGCUAAUAAGGACCAAUUGCUGUCAAUGUAAAGGAUGCAUUAACUCUGUCCAAAUGGGGAUGAUCCAGAGGGCAUACUGAAUACUGGUUGAGGACUUGUUACUGCCAAGUGCUGCAAUUCUUAAUCGGUGGAUCUAUCUAAUCGUUAACCCAAAAUCAUGCCCCCCUUUUUUGGGCUUGUUUUAAAGCUUUCUAGGUUCUUGAUUGGUACUGAAAUAAGAGUUUGUAUAUCUUGAGGUGUUCUCAGAUUUGUUUGUUGUAAACAAUUAGUAGGAGGCAUUUCCUGUUGAAAUUUGAAGCUAACUUGCAAGGAGAUGGGCUCGAUGCAACUCGGAGUCACAAAACCGGACUUCCCAAAUCGUCAGAGACGAGCUGAUGAACUAGCCCGGUGGCUUGGCAUCUCUACUCCCACUGUAUUAGUUGUGUUUCAAUCCAUACCCGCAUCUCCCAACAAUGUAUUUAGUUUUUUUUUUUAUGAUCAGAUGAGAUGUGAGAAACGGAUUGAAGUUUUAAUUUCACUGACUUUAGCAGAAAAGACUGGUAUCUGCUUCUUGUAUCUAGUGUAUUCUGCUCUUCAUCGUGAAGAAUGUGGAUUUGUAUAUCAGGACUUGCAUUGGGAAAAUGAAAAAAAACAAA